GCUGGGCGUGGUGGCUCACGCCUGUAAUCCCAGCUACUCAGGAGGCUGAGGCAGGAGAACUACUUGAACCCAGGAGGUGGAGGUUGCAGUGAGCUGAGAUCACGUCACUGCACUUCACCCUGGGCAACAGAGUGAGACUCUGUCUCAA
rnacentral:SRP_RNA from 2 species